rnacentral:rRNA from 1 species
AUUGAACGCUGGCGGCAGGCCUAACACAUGCAAGUCGAGCGGAUGAAGGGAGCUUGCUCCUGGAUUCAGCGGCGGACGGGUGAGUAAUGCCUAGGAAUCUGCCUGGUAGUGGGGGUAACGUUCCGAAACCGGCGCCUAUUACGCCUACCUUCCGGGGGAGGAAAGGGGGGGUUCUUGGGCCCUCCGCCUUUCAAUUAGCCCUAGGUCGGAUUAGCUAGUUGGUGGGGUAAAGGCCUACCAAGGCGACGAUCCGUAACUGGUCUGAGAGGAUGAUCAGUCACACUGGAACUGAGACACGGUCCAGACUCCUACGGGAGGCAGCAGUGGGGAAUAUUGGACAAUGGGCGAAAGCCUGAUCCAGCCAUGCCGCGUGUGUGAAGAAGGUCUUCGGAUUGUAAAGCACUUUAAGUUGGGAGGAAGGGCAGUAAGUUAAUACCUUGCUGUUUUGACGUUACCAACAGAAUAAGCACCGGCUAACUUCGUG